GGAGGCCUCAAGGAAUGACUUGAAAGGAACUCAAGUUUGGUAUUCAUAGUUGUCAGUUUGAGGAAUUCAUGAGGUUCCUCGAAUGAGUGUGAGUCGAGGUAAAACUCAUGAAUUACGUCAUCGUUUGGAGGAAUGCUAACCUUAUUAUUGACGAUUUUUUAUCUGUGGCUUUCAACUUCUUGUGUCAAGUGAUUAGUGAAGUGUCAAAUGAAAGCGAACACAUAAAUAAACAAAUAUUAACGCAGCGUAAUUCGAAUUCCUUAAAUGCACUUGAAAACAAAACCCAUGUUUUGCGCAAAAAAUACUGUGAUAUUUGUGAAGUGGGUGGCUUGGAGAAGAAAAUAUUUUGUUCGCUUCGCAGUAUACAAGUGAAUUCAAUCGUGUGUUGUUCUUAUUGAGCAAUUAUUUAAAAUGACUGCAACUGGAAGACAGCUUUUCAAUGAAGCCGAAAAGAUUUGUCUGCAGGAGUUAGUGAUCAAAUACAAAUUAAAUUCGAUAGCCACUAUGGGGAGCGCAGUGGCUAAAAAAAAUCCCUGGCUUAGCCUAACAGAGGAGUACAAUGCCAUAGAAACGAAUUCAAAAGUAAGUACUUACUGUAGUUGAAAAUAUAUUUUAUUCUAUUAUAUUCACUUAAGGCAAACUUUACGAAACAUUUGAGCAAUUAUUUCUUUAUCACUUUAUUUUUAGAGGACUGAGGCUCAACUUAAAAAAUGUUGGGACCAGGCGUAAAAGUAUGUUGGCCUUAGAGAAAAGGGAAAGGAUGAGGACCGGUGGUGGUUCCUCUAAUGCUUACAUACCUAGUACCAGUACUGGAGGAUGCUCUCGCUGAACAGACAGAUGUGGAGUUGGCAGAUGUAAUCGACAGUGAUAACAUACCUUGUAGUGCAGUAAUCCAAAUUGAUGAUGUGAUGUUGUUAGACAUGUCAUCUCAAGUACCAGCAGUUGAACAUGUGUCAGAAAGAGAAAACAUUAUAAACACUCCUCCACAUUUGACAGAGUCCCGGUUGACUGAUUAUAGUGCAGCUCCAUCACAAGAGUCAAGAAAUAUACGGACCAGAGUGAUUCAAGAAGAAUUUCAUAUCCGUCAACAAACAUGGAAAAUCUCAGAAAAGGGAAGAGGAGCUGCAUAAGCUCAGAAUAGCUGAGAAGGAGUGGAUGGUGAAGGUAGCAGAGGAGAUUUUUCUCAAAGCCAAAACUGAAAGAGAAGCUGCAGAGGAACUUCUCCUCUGCAAUAGAGCCAAAAGAGAAGAGGCUGAAUUAAGUUUAAGAAUAUUUAAAAAUAAAAAUUUUGAAAAUUAAUUUAGUAUUAGGUUGUAUGUAUAUGUUUAUUUCAAUUCUAUUGUGUAAUAAAAAACUUUAUUGCUUAGUA